ACUCAAAUGAAUAGACGGGGGCCCGCACAAGCGGUGGAGCAUGUGGUUCAAUUCGACGCAACGCGAAGAACCUUACCUGGACUCGAAAUGUGGUUGACCGUGUCAGAGAUGACAUUUUCCCGCAAGGGACUGCCAUAUAGGUGCUGCAUGGCUGUCGUCAGCUCGUGUCGUGAGAUGUUGGGUUAAGUCCCGCAACGAGCGCAACCCUUACCCUUAGUUGCUCGGUCGCAAGACAAGCACCCUAAGGGAACUGCCUCGGAUAACGGGGAGGAAGGUGGGGAUGACGUCAAGUCCUCAUGGCCUUUAUGCCCAGGGCUACACACGUGCUACAAUGGCCGGUACAAAACGUCGCAAACCCGCGAGGGGGAGCCAAUCGCUAAAAACCGGUCUCAGUUCGGAUUGCAGGCUGCAACUCGCCUGCAUGAAGCUGGAAUCGCUAGUAAUCGCGGAUCAGAACGCCGCGGUGAAUACGUUCCCGGGCCUUGUACACACCGCCCGU
rnacentral:rRNA from 1 species